rnacentral:rRNA from 1 species
GACAGAGGCCCCAAGCGUUAGGCGGAAUCACUGGGCUUAAAGCGUGUGUAGGCGGAUCGUUAAGUGUCUUGUGAAAUCCCACGGCUCACCCGUGGAACUGCUGGGCAUACUGGCGAUCUUGGGCCAACUAGGGGCAGUCGGAACAAGCGGUGGAGCGGUGAAAUGCGUAGAUAUCGCUUGGAACGCCGAAGGUGAAAACAGACUGCUGGGGUUACGCCGACGCUGAGACACGAAAGCCAGGGGAGCAAACGGG